rnacentral:rRNA from 1 species
GGGGGGGGCUAGCGUUGUUCGGAAUUACUGGGCGUAAAGGGCGCGUAGGCGGUCUGCUAAGUUGGAUGUGAAAACUCUGGGCUUAACCCAGAGCCUGCAUUCAAAACUGACAGGCUAGAGUUCUGGAGGGGAUAGCGGAAUUCCUGGUGUAGCGGUGAAAUGCGUAGAUAUCAGGAGGAACACCGGUGGCGAAGGCGGCUAUCUGGACAGAAACUGACGCUGAGGCGCGAAAGCUAGGGGAGCAAACAGGAUUAGAUACCCUGGUAGUCCUAGCCCUAAACGAUGGAUACUUGGUGUGACUGGGAUUGAAUCCAGUCGUGCCGAAGCUAACGCAUUAAGUAUCCCGCCUGGGGAGUACGGUCGCAAGGCUG